CCUACGGGUGGCAGCAGUGAGGAAUAUUGGUCAAUGGGCGGGAGCCUGAACCAGCCAAGUCGCGUGAGGGACGACGGUCCUAUGGAUUGUAAACCUCUUUUGUCGGGGAACAAAGGCGUCCACGGGUGGGCGGAUGAGUGUACCCGAAGAAAAAGCAUCGGCUAACUCCGUGCCAGCAGCCGCGGUAAUACGGAGGAUGCGAGCGUUAUCCGGAUUUAUUGGGUUUAAAGGGUGCGUAGGCGGGCAUUUAAGCCGGCGGUCAAAUGUCGGGGCUCAACCCCGGCCUGCCGUCGGAACUGGGUGCCUUGAGUGGGCGAGAAGUAUGCGGAAUGCGUGGUGUAGCGGUGAAAUGCAUAGAUAUCACGCAGAACCCCGAUUGCGAAGGCAGCUUACUAAACUGCCACUGACAUUGAUGCUCGAAAGUGUGGGUAUCAAACAGGAUUAGAUACCCCAGUAGUC
rnacentral:rRNA from 1 species